AGAGUUUGAUCCUGGCUCAGGACGAACGCUGGCGGUGCGCUUAAUGCAUGCAAGUCGAACGGGCAAAGGGGCUUCGGCCUCGGCGCUAGUGGCAGACGGCUGAGUAACACGUAAGUGAUCUGCCCCGGAGAGGGGGAUAACCCGGAGAAAUCCGGCCUAAUACCCCAUACGUUCAGGUGGCUACGGCCAUGUGAAGAAAGGUUUACGUCGCUCUGGGAGGAGCUUGCGGCCUAUCAGGUAGUUGGUGGGGUAAAUGCCUACCAAGCCGAAGACGGGUAACCGAUGUGAGAGCAUGAUCGGUCAGAGGGGGACUGAGACACGGCCCCCACUCCUACGGGAGGCAGCAGCAGGGAAUCUUGCGCAAUGGGCGAAAGCCUGACGCAGCGACACCGCGUGGGGGAAGAAGGCCUCAGGGUUGUAAACCCCUUUUCUGUGGGAAGAGAUAGGACGGUACCACAGGAAUAAGCAUCGGCUAACUACGUGCCAGCAGCCGCGGUAAUACGUAGGAUGCAAGCGUUGUCCGGAUUUACUGGGCGUAAAGGGUGUGUAGGCGGCAUGGUAAGUCUCAUGUGAAAUCUCCCGGCUCAACUGGGAGGGGUCAUGGGAAACUGCCAAGCUUGAGGGCAGCAGAGGAAAGCGGAAUUCCGGGAGUAGUGGUGGAAUGCGUAGAUACCCGGAGGAACACCAGAGGCGAAGGCGGCUUUCUGGGCUGUGCCUGACGCUGAUACACGAAAGCGUGGGGAGCAAACCGGAUUAGAUACCCGGGUAGUCCACGCCCUAAACGAUGGAUACUAGAUAUAGGGGGUAUCGACCCCUCCUGUGUCGGAGUUAACGCGAUAAGUAUCCCGCCUGGGGAGUACGGCCGCAAGGCUAAAACUCAAAGGAAUUGACGGGUCCCCGCACAAGCGGCGGAGCGUGUGGUUUAAUUCGAUGAUAAGCGAAGAACCUUACCUGGGCUUGACAUGCAUUUGACAACCCAUGAAAAUGGGCUUUCCUUCGGGACAGAUGCACAGAUGUUGCAUGGCUGUCGUCAGCUCGUG
rnacentral:rRNA from 1 species